rnacentral:lncRNA from 1 species
CAGGUAUUGUUAUCUUAGGAGAUGGCAGCUCCAUGUGUGUUACUGCCCCUGAAGCCCUUCCAGUGGGAUAAGUCACACCUGCUGGCAUCCCGAGCAGUCAGCGACAGAGCAGCACAGUGUCAGAGCUCUCCUUGACCUCUCGAUUUCUGCCCACACCUACUCACGCCAGCCCUGGAGGCUCUGCCGUCUGAAGCCCUUCCCACCAGCUCUGGCUUUCCAGGCCCUCCCUGAGCCCCACAGUCCUCUGUGCCUGGGUCCCUUAUAUGGUCUCUUGCUCCCCACCUCUCCAUCCUAUGCCCUCUGGUUACCACCCACCCCAAAUGGCUGCAUUAAUUACUGUGAUGGUUAAUACUGAGUGUCAACUUGAUUGGAUUAAAGGAUACAAAGUAUUGAUCCU